GGACGCCCAGCUGUCAAUCACGCGCAGCCAGAGCUCCAGGAGGCGGGAGCGGCGGUGGCAGCGGUGGCGGCGGCGGCGGCGGCGGCGGUGGUAGUGGCUGCGAUGGGACCCCAGCGAGAGAUUUGCGGCUAGCUGGCUGCAUUUGCUCCACGGGUCAGGGGAUCGCAGGGGCAGGUUUCAAGAAUGAGCCAUUAAAAGGAAAGGUCAAAGAGUAAACAACAGGAAGAGGAAGUGGAGGACUGCAAAGCUGGGAAGGAUGAGUUCCUGCAGCAACAUCUGUGGGUCCAAGCAGGCACAGGCUGCCACUGAGAGCGGGUACCAGCGCUAUGGAGUCCGGUCCUACCUGCACCAGUUUUAUGAGGACUGUACCACCUCAAUCUGGGAGUAUGAGGAUGAUUUCCAGAUCCAGAGAUCACCUAACAGGUGGAGCUCAGUAUUCUGGAAGACAAAGUUAUGAAGUGGUCUUGGUCUGUCUCACUUCGUCACGGGCACAGAGUGAUCUUGUCUGAUGUUGAGGUUCUGCAAGAUUGAUUGUACCCACAGAACAACAUGGCGCCAAUGUGGGGCCCAGGCCAGCUUCUGACACCAUCAAGGCCUGGUGAAUAGGGUCGGACUCAUCUCGGGCACAGUCUUUGUGAUUCUCGGAUUGACUGUUCUGGCAGUGGGCUUUCUUGUGCCCCCCAAAAUUGAAGCCUUUGGCGAAGCCAAUUUCGUGGUAGUGGACACACACGCUGUCCAGUUUAAUGGAGCCCUUGACAUGUGCAAGCUGGCAGGUGCCGUUCUCUUCUGCAUUGGGGGCAUGUCCAUGGCAGGGUGCCUGCUGAUGUCAGUGUUUGCCAAAAGCUACUCCAAAGAAGAGAAAAUCCUUCAGCAAAAGUUUAAAGAGAGAAUUGCAGACAUCAAGGCCCACCCCCAGCCCAUUACGAGAGCUCCAGGCCCAGGGGAAACAAAGAUACCAGUCACUUUGUCCAGGGUUCAAAAUGUUCAGCCUGUAUCAGCCACCUGAAAUGUUUUCCACCCCAGCCUCCCCCCCUCCUCCUAAUGUACGAGGUGUUACGAGGGAGCAGGCCAGUUCAGGAGACGAUGAGCGUUUGAUGUUGACCUGCCCCACCUAGGGCUGUGCUCCGCUGCGGGCAGCAUGGGAAGUGAGCUCACAUUCAUUCCCUUCAGUGGCCCUGGGGACAGUUGAUGCCAUGUGUCAGCCUGUCACCUCUGGAACUCCUCUCUCAUAUAUUGUGACUUUGUGUCAUUUUCCAUGUUACUGGAAAGCGCUGAACAGUUUAGACCAGCCUACCGAUGGCUAACGUGGUCCGUCUUACUUUCCAAUGUUGGUUCUUCUAAUCUUUCCUGUGUGGUGCUGCCUUCCUUUCCUUGUCUCACUACAUGUAAGAUACUGUUGUGUGUGUCCACAGAAAAAUCACGUUCCCUGAUUUUGACCCAAACAUUGGUCUUUUAACCAUAACUCGAGGUUCUUGAGAUCAAACACAUACCUAUCGGGAUUCUCCACAAAUCUUUUUGUUGUUGUUGUUUUCUCCAGUUUUUCCUUCCACUUAAAAAGCUAAAAUUGACAACUGGAGAAUCUUGGGAAAGAAACUAGUAUUAAGAGAAUCUAUUUAUGUAGUGUCCAAGAGCACUGAGUUAGAAGCCAAGAAAUUUGAGUUCCUAUUAGUAGCCAGCUGUGUGAUUUUGGGGAAAGCACUUCACAUCCCCAGGCCUCAGUUUUCCCGUCUGUAGCUGGGGGUCCUGGUCUGUGAUGUCGGAGGUUCCUUUUUUGCCGCGUGUCCUCGUGUUUCCACGACGAAGGAUGUUUACGGUGUUCUUGUGGCUCUUGCCACAAUGGGAUUCUUCCGGAAGGUCGCCGAGUCAGCAGCCCCCAUGCCAUCUACUCUUAAAUCUCCAACCCCAGCAGUUUACACAAUGCCGUCCUAUUUUUUAUAAAGGCAAAAUAAGCCAUCCGCAGAUAAGGAACCCCUGAGUAAAUGAUAACUUUUAAAAGGGUCUUCAUUCUCCAAGAAGAUGUUUUCUUCUCCAGUAAAAUGUACCUCUCAUCCCUUUGCACUUUUAUUUAAUCUGUGGAUUUCAGCUAGACUGAAGAAAGUGGAACACAUGACCUUGGUAUCCUCUCAGAAUCUGUGCCACCUUCCAGGGUUUUUUUUCCCCUUCCUUCACUGGAUAAAUAAAAUAUGUGAACGAGCAGAACC